UACGAAGGGGCUAGCGUUGCUCGGAAUCACUGGGCGUAAAGGGUGCGUAGGCGGGUCUUUAAGUCAGGGGUGAAAUCCUGGAGCUCAACUCCAGAACUGCCUUUGAUACUGAAGAUCUUGAGUCCGGGAGAGGUGAGUGGAACUGCGAGUGUAGAGGUGAAAUUCGUAGAUAUUCGCAAGAACACCAGUGGCGAAGGCGGCUCACUGGCCCGGAACUGACGCUGAGACGCGAAAGCGUGGGGAGCAAACAGG
rnacentral:rRNA from 1 species